rnacentral:rRNA from 1 species
UACAGAGGUCUCAAGCGUUGUUCGGAUUCAUUGGGCGUAAAGGGCGCGUAGGCGGCCUGUUAAGUCGAACGUGAAAUCCCCAGGCUCAACCUGGGAACUGCGUCUGAUACUGGAUGGCUUGAAUCCGGGAGAGGGAUGCAGAAUUCCAGGUGUAGCGGUGAAAUGCGUAGAUAUCAGGAGGAACACCUGUGGUGUAGACGGCUCUCUGGACCGCAACUGACGCUGAGACACGAAAGCGUGGGUAGCAAACAGG